rnacentral:rRNA from 1 species
UACAGAGGGGGCAAGCGUUGUUCGGAAUUACUGGGCGUAAAGGGCGCGUAGGCGCCUUCUAAGUCGAACGUGAAAUCCCCGGGCUCAACCCGGGAACUGCGUCCGAUACUGGAAGGCUUGAAUCCGGGAGAGGGAUGCGGAAUUCCAGGUGUAGCGGUGAAAUGCGUAGAUAUCUGGAGGAACACCCGUGGCGAAGGCGGCUCUCUGGGACGGUACUGACGCUGAGACGCGAAAGCGUGGGGAGCGAACAGG